rnacentral:lncRNA from 1 species
GUUCAACAUAUUGUCAUUUUUGGAUGUUGUAUUUAAUAGUUCAGUUGGAUUUGCAGAUGGACGAAAGUGAAAAGGUCAGUUUCAAUAACGGUAGUUGUGUAUUGUAACUAGAAAGAUACUAUUCAUCACUUAUUUACUGAGACCAAGGGAAACAGUGUGUUUUGUGGACCCGAGACCGCCGUUGUUGCCUGAGGUGAGGGACCACAAAACACACUGUUUUCCCAAGGUCUCAGUAAAUAAGUGUUUUGUUAUAUAGUAUAUAAGUGUCAAAGUAUGAAUAAUUCACCGGUUAUUGGAGUGACUUAAUUUGAAACCAAAACUGGAUAAAUGGAACGCCGUAAAUGUUUAGUGUAAAAAGUUUAAAAAAUGAACUUUGGAACUUCGUGGUUGACACACGUGCAUAUUGCACCCAUUUUAUUAUUGACCAGUCAAUAAAUGUUUCAUUGCGGACCGGUUGCCGAACAUGAUGUUUUGUGGACCGGCAUGUGACACAGUUUUAACCAAUCGGCAAACAGAAAAAUUGAACUUUGACACUAACUACUGUAUAUAACAAUUAUGUUUGUGAUGUUACUCUGAGUGUAUAUUCACACCGGGCAAGCUUGAAAAAUAUGCCUUGAAAAAAAUACUAGCCCAAUUCUCUGCCAACUGAGCUACACGGUCAGGUUGGUUCAAGUAUGUGUAUUUCGGAUGGAACAGACAUAUGGCAGGCAUAUUUUUCAAGCUUGCCUGGUGUGGAUAUACACUCAGAGUAACAUCACAAACAUCAUAUUCACCUGAGUACAUUACACCAAUGUUCACAGAAAAAAAAUCAAGAUACUAUUAUAUAAGAGUGAAUUUAUGAAAAUUUUCCCUCAAUGGUCUCCAUUUCAACCCAAAUUGUUCAAAGCUUUUUUUAUCAGCCGAAAGUUAUUGCUUUCAUGAGAGAAAUCAUUUCCGAAAUUUUUCAGAAAGUGUGGAGUGGGUUGAGGCACUUUUACCCUGGGUCCCCUUUUGGAAUUUUUCAAAAUUUUUAUAUUAUAUUAUAAAGUUACGUUUUGAACAAUUCAACAUCAGAUUUUGCUGAUUUCUAAUGCCUUCUUCUUCAGUAUUUAGUCCUUGAAUUUGCUCAUACAUGGCCUUGAAUGUCCUUGAAAAGUCCUUGAAUUUGACAAUUCCUGACAUGUACGAACCUAGCUGUUUCAAGAAGUUUGAAAUAGUUCGGGGCACUUUUUGAAUUUUUGAGAAAUUUCCUCUGAAUUUUACCAACGCAGCAUAUAAAUUAUAAAUGCUGAAUAAUAAUUGUGUAUGCCAAUAAGGCAAUUUGAAUCCUAUUGGCAUACAAAAUUGUUAUUUAGAAUUUACAAUUUCUAUGCUGCAUCCAAUCUAUUGACCAAUCAGGGGAUGCUUUUGUAAAUACCCAUGUACCCAAAUAUUCAGAAGCCUUUAUUUUUAUGCUAAAACAGAAACAUUCCAGAGAAUAAAUUAAUACAAUUAUAUUCAAAUUUAGGGUGUGUUACAGCUGUAUAUUUUGCCGCUGCCUUGUGUGGCCCUCGCCUGUUUGUGAAAAAAGUACUUUGAAGAUCAAGAUACGACGCUUAAAUAGAGGAAAGCACAAAUGCCGAAGUUAAAGACAUGAUUAGGUAUGUUUUAUCAAUUUGAUGUGAAAUGUUGAUAAAUUUUGUGAGUUAAAGUGGUUGAAACUGCUUGUCGAAUUUGACGAUCGCAAGUCGCUUUGUGUUCAACAUUUUGUGGUGGUUUAUAUAGAUACUGAAUUCAGUGGUGUAACAGAGGAACCCUUAGGCAUAUUUGGUGUGGGGGGCCUGUUAACUGUUGUUAUUGUUUGAAUGAGAUGUUAUAUUUAGCUAUAUUUCCCUCUCUAUAACAAUCACAGCUACAACACAACUAAGGAGCCAAUUAUCUGGAGCACUUUCAACCCAGGGGUUGAACUGUUAACCGGUUUGAAUUUUUUGUGAUUACAUGGAUGAUUUCGACGCCAGGUUUGAAAUGCUAUAUGUCCCUGGCAUUGAUUCCCGGAAGUACAAAAAUGGUUCCAUAACCUCCAUUUUGUUUUCUUGUAUAAAAUAGUCACUACCACACAUGCUCGAGUGAGUAACUGAUUAAAAUUUUCAGCCCCAGGUUGAAACAAUUACAUGACAAAAUUUUCAACCCAGGGCCGAGUUUUCCCUCCUGGCAGAGGUCUCUAUUGGUAGAGACCUCUACCAGCAAAGAGGGUUGAAUUUCAACCCCGGGGUUGAUAAUAAUGUAAUGUAAUUGUGUGUUUGAUUUUUUUGAAGUUUUGUAUUACACACAGGGAUGAAAUUUCAACCCAGUCAACAGAGCUGGGUUCAACCACGGGGUUGAAAAUGCUCCAUGUAAUCGGCUUCUAAUAAGAAUAAGAAUACUGUUUCUUUUAUUUGAGAUGGAAUAACAAAUUCAGUUGAUUAUUUUGCAUUAUUAAUUUUGCAUUUUCCCAUCAAUUCUUAACCUGCAUUUUUACAUCUCAUUUUCUGGGCGAUGGGUUGUGGCUGUGUGGGGGGGGGGGGCUUAACUGUCGGCCCCUAAUUUGAAUUAACCCUGCCUAAUACCUCAACGUUUCGUGAAGUUUAGUUCAAAUUAGCAGAGAUUAGUGCAUAAAGUAUUUAGGAUAUUUUGAAGCUAAAUUUGUUUUUAAAUUUGUCAUUUUAGUGAAUACAAGAAAUGUUGAAUAGUCUGCUGCAAGGAGACAUCGGGCAUUGUAAUGAAUGGAC